rnacentral:ncRNA from 1 species
UUAAAUGGCUUAUAAUAGUGUUUUUGUUUUUUAUAACGUGUUUACUUUAGUUUGAAAGUUUGAUCCUUGCUUGUUCCUCUGUUUCAGGAAUAAUUUACAUGUAAGUGAGUGCUAGAUAAUUGUGAUCAAUAGAUUUGUUUAGUUAGGUUUCAGUAUGUGUCUUUGGUUUUGGAGAAAUCCUUCGAUCCAGUAAUUCCAGUAAUUUCAGGUUAAAUUUGUGCCAGCAUCCGCGGUUAGACUGGGAGUAAAUAUGGAGGGAAAAAGGUUAUUGGUUACGGGAGCAUGUAUUUGCAAGUUUCUUUUUUUGUAGAGUUAAGAGGUGAAAUUUAUAGUUCGAUAGUAAAGUUGAAUCUUGUUGAUUUUCUUGGAGGCCAUUGAAGUUUAGGUUUAAACCAGGAUUAGAUACCCUGUUAUUCUAAACUUAAAGUUUAUUGCUUGAUUAGUAUCAGUUAUGAGCUUGAAAUUUAAAGGAUUUGGCGGUAUCCAAGUCUAGUUAGAGGAACCUGCCAUUUAAACGAUAUGCCACGAAUGAUCUUACUUUGUCUUGUCAAACAGUAUGUAUACCGCCAUUAUUAGGUGGUGUAUUAAUAUAGCCAUUAAAAUUAAUUUAUAUUAAGUAUAUUAGGUCAAGGUGCAGCCCAUGACAAAGAUAUCGGUGGGUUACAGUGUGUUAUACAUAAACGGAUGGACUCUUGAAACGGGGUCUUGAAGGUGGAUUUAAUUGUAUUUCUUUUUUAAUAUGUUAGAUUGAUCGUAGCUCUAGGAUAUGUACACAUCGCCCGUCGCUCUCAUUCUUUAAAGUGAGAUAAGUCGUAACAUAGUAGUUGUAUUGGAAAGUGCAUCUAGGAGUA